rnacentral:misc_RNA from 1 species
GAUGAAGAACGUAGCGAAAUGCGAUAAGUAAUGUGAAUUGCAGAAUUCAGUGAAUCAUCGAAUCUUUGAACGCACAUUGCGCCCUCUGGUAUUCCGGGGGGCAUGCCUGUUCGAGCGUCAUUAUAACCACUCAAGCUCUCGCUUGGUAUUGGAGUUCGCGAUCUCGCGGCUCCUAAAAUCAGUGGCGGUGCCUGUCGGCUCUACGCGUAGUAAUACUCCUCGCGAUUGAGUCCGGUAGGGUUACUUGCCAGCAACCCCCAAUUUUUACAGGUUGACCUCGGAUCAGGUAGGGAUACCCGCUGAACUUAAGCAUAUCAAUAAGCGGAGGA